GUCCACGCCGUAAACGUUGGGCGCUAGAUGUGGGGACCAUUUCACGGUUUCCGUGUCGCAGCUAACGCAUUAAGCGCCCCGCCUGGGGAGUACGGCCGCAAGGCUAAAACUCAAAGGAAUUGACGGGGGCCCGCACAAGCGGCGGAGCAUGCGGAUUAAUUCGAUGCAACGCGAAGAACCUUACCAAGGCUUGACAUAUACGAGAACGGGCCAGAAAUGGUCAACUCUUUGGACACUCGUAAACAGGUGGUGCAUGGUUGUCGUCAGCUCGUGUCGUGAGAUGUUGGGUUAAGUCCCGCAACGAGCGCAACCCUCGUUCUAUGUUGCCAGCGCGUAAUGGCGGGAACUCAUAGGAGACUGCCGGGGUCAACUCGGAGGAAGGUGGGGAUGACGUCAAAUCAUCAUGCCCCUUAUGUCUUGGGCUUCACGCAUGCUACAAUGGCCGGUACAAAGGGCUGCAAUACCGCAAGGUGGAGCGAAUCCCAAAAAGCCGGUCUCAGUUCGGAUUGAGGUCUGCAACUCGACCUCAUGAAGUCGGAGUCGCUAGUAAUCGCAGAUCAGCAACGCUGCUGUGAAUACGUUCCCGGGCCUUGUACACACCGCCCGUCAAG
rnacentral:rRNA from 1 species